CCUGCGGAAGGAUCAUUGUCAAAACCUUAGCAGAACAGUGACUCGAGAACUUGUCCAGGCGCAAAACUCUAGUGUCGGGGCCAUCUUUAGGGCUUGACCUCGAUGAACAAAAACACCGGCGCAGUAGCGCCAAGGAAUUCCGUCAUGAGAUUGCUUGCUCGUUCAGCCCUUUUUUAAGUGCUUGUGUGGGUGGGCGUCUUUCUAUUAAAAUGACUCUCGGCAAUGGAUAUCUCGGCUCUUGCAUCGAUGAAGAACGUAGCGAAAUGCGAUACGUGGUGUGAAUUGCAGAAUCCCGUGAACCAUCGAAUCUUUGAACGCAAGUUGCGCCUGAAGCCAUUAGGUUGAGGGCACGUCUGCUUGGGUGUCAUGUGUUGUGUCGUCCCUCUCUUGUUUUGUAGUGGGAGUGGAUCAUGGCCUCCUGGGCCCAUCCUUGGGUGUGGUUGGCCGAAAAUGUUGUCACUGAUGGUGUUCAAUGUCUUGGCGUGCGGUGGAUGUAUCGAGUGUGCAUAAUGGCGCGCCUUGCUUCGCCUUUCUGUGGCGGGUGGUCCCUAUGAAGCUGACAGAGUCGGCUCUUUGUUUGCGACCCCAAGUCAGGCGGGACAAC
rnacentral:rRNA from 1 species